CAUGCAGCGGUUCGAGCGGGACCCGUACGCGGACAGGGCGCGGUACUCUGCGUUUUGAGUCGGAGGUCGCGUGCGCCGGGGCGGAAGCGUUCGGCCGGACCCCCCGCACCCGCUCCCCCGCUGCCCGCCCGCCGCGGGCUCCGGGGCGCCGCUGCCCUGCGCUUUUUUUUACGGAGGUUCCUGCGUCUCGGUCCCGCUGCGGCCCC
rnacentral:lncRNA from 1 species